GUUGAAGAACGCAGCGAAAUGCGAUAAGUAAUGUGAAUUGCAGAAUUCAGUGAAUCAUCGAAUCUUUGAACGCACAUUGCGCCCAUUAGCAUUCUAGUGGGCAUGCCUGUUCGAGCGUCAUUUCAACCCUUAAGCCCUGUUGCUUAGCGUUGGGAGCCUACAGUACUGUAGCUCCCCAAAGUUAGUGGCGGAGUCGGUUUCACACUCUAGACGUAGUAAUUUUUUCUCGUCUGUAGUUGAGCCGGUCCCCUGCCGUAAAACACCCAAUUUAUCAAGGUUGACCUCGGAUCAGGUAGGAAUACCCGCUGAACUUAAGCAUAUCAAUAAGCGGAGGA
rnacentral:misc_RNA from 1 species